rnacentral:rRNA from 1 species
GAUGAACGCUGGCGGCAUGCCUAACACAUGCAAGUCGAUCGGUAAGGCUCUUCGGAGUACACGAGAGGCGGACGGCUGAGUAACGCGUAGGAACACACCCUGCAGUGAGGGAUAAGACACCGAAAGGUGUUCUAAUACCGCAUACGGUCUUCGGAUUAAAGCAUUUAUGCGCUGAAGGAGUGGCCUGCGUCAUACUAGAUAGUUGGUGAGGUAAUGGCUCACCAAGUCGAUGAUGUGUAGCUGGUCUGAGAGGAUGAUCAGCCAGACUGGAACUGAGACACGGUCCAGACUCCUACGGGAGGCAGCAGUGAGGAAUAUUUCACAAUGAGCGAAAGCUUGAUGGAGCAAUGCCGCGUGCAGGAUGAAGGCCCUCGGGUUGUAAACUGCUUUUAUAAGAGAAGAUUAUGACGGUAACUUAUGAAUAAGGGACGGCUAACUACGUG